AUACGUUUCUCGGCCUUUUGGCUAAGAUCAAGUAUAUCUAUUCUUAUCAGUGUAAUAUCACCUCGGUAAACUUAUGUGUUUGCCUUGAUAUUAAUUUUUAAAGGGGAAGGACCUAUG
rnacentral:snRNA from 1 species